UACGUAGGGUGCAAGCGUUGUCCGGAAUUAUUGGGCGUAAAGAGCUCGUAGGCGGUUUGUCGCGUCUGCUGUGAAAACUCGGGGCUUAGCUCCGGGCCUGCAGUGGGUACGGGCAGACUAGAGUGUGGUAGGGGAGACUGGAAUUCCUGGUGUAGCGGUGAAAUGCGCAGAUAUCAGGAGGAACACCGAUGGCGAAGGCAGGUCUCUGGGCCACUACUGACGCUGAGAAGCGAAAGCAUGGGGAGCGAACAGG
rnacentral:rRNA from 1 species